CAGUAGCGCGGUAAUACGUAGGUGGCAAGCGUUGUCCGGAAUUAUUGGGCGUAAAGGGCUCGCAGGCGGUUUCUUAAGUCUGAUGUGAAAGCCCCCGGCUCAACCGAGGAGGGUCAUUGGAAACUGGGAAACUUGAGUGCAGAAGAGGAGAGUGGAAUUCCACGUGUAGCGGUGAAAUGCGUAGAGAUGUGGAGGAACACCAGUGGCGAAGGCGACUCUCUGGUCUGUAACUGACGCUGAGGAGCGAAAGCGUGGGGAGCGAACAGGAUUAGAUACCCCAGUAGUCCCUGUCUCUUAUACA
rnacentral:rRNA from 1 species